CCUAAUAGGAAAUUUAAGGGCGUAUGGUGGAUGCCUUGACUCCAAAGAGGUGAUGAAGGACGCAGCAUGGCGGCGAUACGCUUCGGGGAGGUGCCUAGCAACCUUUGAUCCGGAGAUGUCCGAAUGGGGAAACCCGUCCUGAUUUCAGGACACUGUGCAAAUUAUGUACAGAAUAGACCCAGUGAAGUAAAACAUUUCAGUAACUGGAGGAAAAGAGAACAAUUGUUAUUUCCUAAGUAGCGGCGAGCGAAAAGGAAGAAGCCCAAACCUAGCUUCACUCUCACGACGUAUUGAAUGCUUCGGCGUGAAAUAUUUUGUGGGAGUGAUACUGGGGGUCGUAAGGCAGGAACGGCACUAAUUUAUUAGUGCGGAGAGUAAAAAAUUGUCAGAUUAAGAGAAGCUUCUGGAAAGUAGCACCCAAGUGGGUAAUAGUCCCGUAUCUGAAAAUCUGACAACUCUUUCGUUUCUGUUCUUGAGUACUUCGAGACACGAAUAGCUCGGAGGAAUCUGCCGGAACUAACCGGUAAGGCUAAAUACUCUUGGAGAUCGAUAGUGAACUAGUACCGUGAGGGAAAGGUGAAAAGCAGCCCGGUAAGGGCGGUGAAAUAGAUCUGAAACCAUAUGUUUACAAGGAGUCGGCGAGGAUAUUUAUAUCCUCUACGGCGUGCCUAUUGAAGAAUGAGCCAACGAGUUCGUGCAUACUGCGCGGCUAAGCCCCGAAAAAGGGUGGAGCCAUAGGGAAACCGAGUGUGAAUAGCGCGUAUGUAGUAUGCACGAGACCCGAAGCCAGAGCGAGCUUGUCAUGAGCAGGUUGAAGUUUGUCGAAAGACAGAUGGAGGACCGAACCGGUGACCCGUGCAAUAGUCUCGGAUGACUUGUGAUAAGAAGUGAAAAGCUAAUCGAGCCUGGUAAUAGCUGGUUCUCUCCGAAAUAGCUUUUGGGCUAGCGUCGCGUGUUCCCCUCGGGGGUAGAGCACUGGAAGGUCUGGACAGGGAGAAAUCUCGCUAGACCUAUCAAACUCCGAAUACCGAGGAUUAAAAAUGCGGCAGUUAGACUGCGGGGGCUAAGCUCCGUCGGUCAAAAAGGAAACAGCCUAGAUCUCAAUUUAAGGUCCCUAAAUUUACACUAAGUGCACUUAAGGAGGUGAUAUUUCUCUGACACUGAGGAGGUUGGCUUAGAAGCAGCCAUCCUUUAAAGAAAGCGUAACAGCUCACUCAGUAAGAGAUAUCGCACCGCAGAUUCAUGGGGCUAAGUGUAGUACCGAAACUGAGGGCUUUCAUCCUGUUCGCAGGGUGGGAGCGGUAGGAGAGUAUUCGCAUCUGCUGUGAAGGCGAAGGGGUGACCCACGCUGGAGCGUUGCGAAGUAAGAAUGUUGGCACAAGUAACCACAAUGCGGGUGAGAAACCCGCACGUCGAAAGAUCAAGGUUUCCUUGGCAAUGAUUGUCAGCCAAGGGUUAGUCGGGCCUAAGGAAAUGGUGAGAACCGCAUCCGAUGGACACAGGGUUAAUAUUCCCUGACUAAUACGGCAAGUGAUGAAAGGACGGGGAUAAGUAUGUAUCGCGCAUUAUCGGAUUUGACGUCCGUGACUUAAGGAAGUAUCCGUGGAAAAUCCCGGGUACUUGGUUUUAAUACCUAUUCCAAAUGUAGCGGAAAUGUUCUGCCUCGGCAGGACAAAUGAUACAAAGCUAUCCUCCAAGAAAAUCUUCUAAACUUAUUGUCGUGUUAUCCGUACCGCAAACCGACACAGGUGAUCAGGUCGAGUAGACCAAGACGAACGAGUGAGACGUCCCCAAGUAUCUCUGGCAACUGUUUAUCAAAAACACAGCUCCCUGCGAACUCGCAAGAGGAUGUAUAGGGGGUGACACCUGACCAAUGCCAGAAGGUCAAAUAUCGGCGGUGAUUGUCGCAAGACAUGAGCUGACUGAUAUAAGCCCUGGUGAAUGUCGGCCGUAACUAUAACGGUCCUAAGGUAGCGAAAUUCCUUGUCUGGUAAGUUCAGACGCGCACGAAUGGUGUAAUGACUGGAGAACUGUCUCGGGGACCUGCUCGGUGAAAAUACAAUACCGGUGAAGAUGCCGGUUAACUGCAGAUAGACGAAAAGACCCCAGGAGCUUUACUGCAACUUGAUAUUGGGAAUACGAUUUACAUGCGUAGUAUAGUGGUGAGGAUUUGAAGCGUCGCUUUCGGGUGACGUGGAUCCAACAGUGAAAUAGCCAUCUUGUGGAUUGUAUUUUCUAACCUAGACGGCAAAAACGUCUAGAGACAGUAUCUGGCGGGCAGUUUUAGUGGGGCGCUAUCCUCCCAAAAAGUAACGGAGGAGUCUAUUAAGGUCAGCUAGGCGCGAAUGGAAACCGUGCCGAUAGUGUAAUGGCAUAAGCUGGCUUGACUGUGAGGCGUACUUGCCAAGCAGAUGCGAAAGCAGAGCAUAGUGAACCGACGAUUCGCAUUAGACGCGGUCGGAGAUUAUCGGAUAAAAGCUACCCUGGGGAUAACAGGCUGGUUGUGCCUAAGCGUCCAUAGCGACGGCACAGUUCGGCACCUCGAUGUCGGCUCAACUUAUCCUGGAGGUGGAGAAGCUUCCAAGGGUAUGGCUGUUCGCCAUUUAAAAAGUUACGCGAGCUGGGUUCAGACCGUCGUGAGACAGGUUGGUCUCCUAUCUACUGCAGUCGUUCGAUUUUUGAGGGGAUUUGCUCCUAGUACGAGAGGACCGGAGUGAACUGACCUCUGGUGUGCCUGCUGUCUUGCCAAAGGCACCGCAGGGUAGCUAUGUCGGGAAAGGAUAAAUUCUGAAAGCAUCUAAGAAUGAAGCCAACCCCAAGAUUAGAAAUCGUUGAGAGCCCUAGGAGAUGACUAGGUUGAUAGGCUUUAGGUGUAAGCACAGCAAUGUGUUGAGCCGAGAAGUACUAAUUGCUCGAUUCUUAUUAGGAA
rfam:Parcubacteria bacterium C7867-005 C7867_00016, whole genome shotgun sequence.